ensembl:lncRNA
CUGUUUCAGAUAAACAAAACCAUAAUAUCUUUACAGACAUUGUUCAUUAAAACCGUCAUAUCUCAUGCAGGAGUAGCAUGUUUUUGACAGUUUUCUGACGAGUGCAUCUAUGAAUUACGGUCGGUCACCCCCUAGCGUCUCUCUUCCCCGCGAAUUUACGGUGACAAGGGUCGGAGCGACCCUUGCUCAGCUUCCCACCUAUUGAACAAGUUCAUUCAUAGAACAAGGAUGACACCCAGCGGUCACUCAACACCGAUUUCCUUCACGGACACCUUUAUAAAUUUGACGCGUUCAAACGAUCACUUGAACCAGAAAACUUUCUCGGACGGCUCUCCAAGACAAUGGAUAAAAGUGAGUAUUUUAUCAUGUCAUGUUAUCUGAUGGUAGUGAUAUUUAAAUACUAUUAAUUGAUCAAAGUAUGUUAUGCUAUUUUUACAGUCUACGAUGUUAUAGCGUUUUUUUAAACCAUAUUACAUUUCAUUCCUGUAAUUUUCUUCAAGUUAUGCUGUUUUAUUUCAACUGCUGAUAGAGAUAUUUUAACACUAUAUUCAUAAAGUAUGUGUUAUUUGAAUUAAUAUCGACGCAUCUAUCGUCCCAAUCACCGCCAGACUGUUUGUAUGAAAAACACACUUUUAUUUUGAAAAGACGGCGACAUCCUGUUGAAAAUACUUUCAUUUUGAAAAUAUGACGACAUCCUGUUGAAAAUACUUUUAUUUUGAAAAGACGAGGAUAUCCUGUUGAAAAUACUUUUAUUUUGAAAAGACGAGGAUAUCCUGUCGCUUAGCUUUUGUGCUUCAGUUCAGUUCGCUAUGUAUAGGAUUUCAGAAAACCAAUUCUGUGUCCAUUAAAUCGACGUUUUACCACCGCGUUAUCCGUUCGUCAUCUAUGAACACGAUUUUCCCGGUUGCUAACUGCUCUCGGUGAAACGGAUAUGAUGGUGAAAUGGCUCCCUCCGGUGAGUCUGGGGUGAAAUGAUCCUGUUAUAGUGAAAAUUGUGUCAUUUGCGGCAGUUUAAUGUUAUGACCUUGUGAUUUCUUUGUCACAGUCUGUCUCUGUAUGUGUGUGUGUGUGUGUGUGUGUGUGCUCCAUUAAACUAGCAAAUAAAAACCCUCUCCAUGUGUUUUAAACAACAGGUUUUUAUUUUUUAUCUCAGGUUCAAAUAUUGAGCAGCAAGCCUUUGACGGUAUUAAUACAUCGCUCGUGAUUGAUCCAGACAGCGCAGCCGCUGGUAAAACAAGAUCCAUCUCCAACAUUUUUUAUGAGAAAUCAAAAUUUUAGAGAGACUCUAUUUUAAAUGGUAAUAUAUGCCAUGAUAGUAACAUAUUACCGAAACAAAUAAUUUAUCAUACAUUUAAACAUGUAUUCAACACUUAUUUAUUAAGCUCAUUGAUCUUAUAAAACACUAUUCACUUAUUUUAAAGAAGUUAAUUAAUAUAUUGUAAUUACAUAUAUAACACACUGUAUUAAAUAAACAUUUAAUAUAGUUUUAGGUCAUAAUAAAUACGGCUUACAUUUUUCUGUGCAUAAUGAUGUCCAUUCCGUGAAUGAAAUGUUUCCAAUAAAACGCAUUUAGUAUAAGUUGAAAUAUUAACAAAACGUCCCAGAUCGUCCCAGGGUUAAACACCAGUGUGAAAUGAAUGUUUCAGACCCACUCAGAGGAGGGGGUAGUUACAGACCAGAAGAUCUGAGGUGUUAUUCUGUUAACCUUUUUUCAAACCGCAUGUUAU